UUCCUACGGGUGGCAGCAGUGGGGAAUAUUGGACAAUGGGGGCAAGCCUGAUCCAGCCAUGCCGCGUGAGUGAAGAAGGCCCUCGGGUUGUAAAGCUCUUUUGUCCGGAAAGAAAAGCGCCGGGUUAAUACCCUGGUGUCCUGACGGUACCGGAAGAAUAAGCACCGGCUAACUUCGUGCCAGCAGCCGCGGUAAUACGAAGGGUGCAAGCGUUACUCGGAAUUACUGGGCGUAAAGCGUGCGUAGGUGGUUCGUUAAGUCCGAUGUGAAAGCCCUGGGCUCAACCUGGGAAUGGCAUUGGAUACUGGCGGGCUAGAGUGCGGUAGAGGGUAGUGGAAUUCCCGGUGUAGCAGUGAAAUGCGUAGAGAUCGGGAGGAACAUCCGUGGCGAAGGCGACUACCUGGACCAGCACUGACACUGAGGCACGAAAGCGUGGGGAGCAAACAGGAUUAGAUACCCCUGUAGUCA
rnacentral:rRNA from 1 species